rnacentral:rRNA from 1 species
GAUGAACGCUGGCGGCGUGCCUAAUACAUGCAAGUCGAGCGAACAGAUAAGGAGCUUGCUCCUUUGACGUUAGCGGCGGACGGGUGAGUAACACGUGGAUAACCUACCUAUAAGACUGGGAUAACUUCGGGAAACCGGAGCUAAUACCGGAUAACUUAUUGAACCGCAUGGUUCAAUAGUGAAAGGCGGCUUUGCUGUCACUUAUAGAUGGAUCCGCGCCGUAUUAGCUAGUUGGUAAGGUAACGGCUUACCAAGGCAACGAUACGUAGCCGACCUGAGAGGGUGAUCGGCCACACUGGAACUGAGCCACGGUCCAGACUCCUACGGGAGGCAGCAGUAGGGAAUCUUCCGCAAUGGGCGAAAGCCUGACGGAGCAACGCCGCGUGAGUGAUGAAGGUCUUCGGAUCGUAAAACUCUGUUAUCAGGGAAGAACAAAUGUGUAAGUAACUGUGCACAUCUUGACGGUACCUGAUCAGAAAGCCACGGCUAACUACGUG